GAGCCAUUAGCUCAGUUGGUAGAGCACCUGACUUUUAAUCAGGGUGUCGCUGGUUCGAAUCCAGCAUGGCUCACCA
rnacentral:tRNA from 1 species